UUGUCUUUGCUUGGUUCAAUCGGGGGAUUGAAUCAAGGGUGUAGAGGUUGGUUGGUGAGCCGAGUGUAAAACCAACGUAUAAGGGUUCGAUUGUGAUUCCCGGAAAAACAAUCAGGGUGGUUCUAGUCGGUGAGCCAGGAAAAACCGACCGAGUUCGUUGUGAGCUCGUAAAACAACAAGUUUGGUUGUGAGCUUGUAAAACAACCGGCUGUAAUCCAAGGGGUUAUAGUGAAUUCCCAAGUGAGACUUGAGGAGUGGACGUAGGAGCAAGGGUUAGCUCCGAACCACUAUAAAAGCCUUGUGUUUGUGAUUGUUUGUCUCUUUCUUUUACUCUCAUUUCAUUCACAGCACAUA
rnacentral:lncRNA from 1 species